UCCAUGCGUACAGUCCAUUAACUUCCUAGAUAAUGAUUCCGCAACAAAAAAAACUUCCUAGAUUAAUGGGCUGGAAUGGGCUGGCCGAGGGCUUCGUUUCGGCCUCUGUAGCAGCAGCCCAUAGGACACCUGGGCCAUUAUUUGAUAGAUGUGCGGGAACCCUAGUAGCCGCCGCCCGCCGCCACCCGCUGUGCCCAUCCCCAUGGCCGCUUCCCCUCCUCCGACGAAAGUGGUCGCCGGCGCUGAAGACGGGAACUCCUCCUCCGCCAUCCCCAAGAUCCAGCCGACGGAGGCCAAAGUCGGCGAAGAGAAGGCCGCCGCCAUGGAAGCAACGUCAUGGUUUGGCCGGUUUGGGCAGCUCUACUUGGCCCUCUCGUCAUCCGCGCCUCGCCGGUCAAGACAGAAACCGAGAGGGGGAAGGCCACCGGUGCAGCGACGGGAACUCCUCCGCCGCCAGUCCCAAGACCCACCCGCCGCACGCCGGAAGUGCCUGUGUGAAGACAUCCUGGCCAGGCCGCUUUGGCCAGUACUACUACCCCGUCCUCCUUGCACUGCUCAUCCGCAUCUUACCGGUGAACAAUGAAACAAAAGCACUUGAGGGAGACUGAAGAUAUAUGUGCAGCUGCGCAGCUACUUUAUGAGACAGAGAAGGUAAUCGAUGGAAGUAUUAUCUUGCAAUUGGAAUGUAGUAAUGCAGUCCAAGUAUAGUUGCUGAAUUUUCCAUCUUUAUGAGCAUGGUUUCAGUGUUACUAAGCUAAUUUACAUUGAGACUGAAGCAACAAGGCAUACCACUACCAGUUGGUACUAGUAAAUAGUACUCCCUCCGUUCCAAAAUAGAUGACCCAACUUUGUACUAACUUUGUACUAAAGUUAGUACAAAGUUGGGUCAUCUAUUUUGGAACGGAGGGAGUACUAAUUUUGUUAUCACAAAAUGAAAGCAGAGCAGGAUAAUGACGUUGAGUAAAUGAACAACAAAAUCUUCCAUGUCUUUAAUGACGAAAUCAGAUAAUGAAAAUUUGAUAUUGUGAAUUAAAUUUAGCCGCAAAGUGUGUUCUGGAAAAGCAUCCCCAAAAUAUUAAAUCCAAAUUAGUGAGAAAGAUAAAUCCAAAAUUUACUAAAUUUAAAUUCAUAAUAAUGUUAUUAGAUUGUGUUGAUCUCUAGUCAUAGGAUAUAUUGAUCUGUUAAUUGGGUGAUUCUUCUAGUUACCAUUUCCCAAUGACUCAAUCAGGUCAUUGAUUGGUUUCCCACCUAUUAAUCUUAUAUCCAAACUUAUUCAUACACUAGACAAUGUAUAGAACUAUCGAUAAUUAUUCGGUUUCCCAUUUUUUUUCAAGGCUAGUAAAUUGCUAUUUUGUCCUUUGAUUCUAAAUCGUUGGAAAACUUGGAGAAGAUGGUAAUGAAUAUGUUUUACAAUGCUUGUGUUCUUCUCUUAAGAUUCUACAGAUGUUGUUGUCAGCUAUCUACAUCAUAUUAUAGUACUCCCUCCGUAAACUAAUAUAAGAGCGUUUAGAUCACUACUUUAGUGGUCUAAAUGCUCUUAUAUUAGUUUACAGAGGGAGUAUAUGUUUAGACGGUAGUGCUCAUGUCAGUUCUCGUGCUCGGGUGCUUCUUAUUUUAUGAAAUGUGUCUUUGACCAAGUCUCUGCGGCAGACCAACAGUAUGGAGAGGCUGGAGAUUAUUUGUUGUAUGUUCAUCAAAAGAUGACCCCUUAAAACUCUAUGCAAGACAAUGUGUACAGUCGACUUUUUAUGUGUUUGCAUUGGGAUAUUAUGUACUUCUACUCUUGGGGUGUUGGAUAUUAUGUACUUCCACUGUUCGGUGUUGGAUGUUGGAUAUGUGGAGCAUAACUGUUCAGCUCUCCGCAUGACAAUAUACUUCUAAUUUUAUA